rnacentral:rRNA from 1 species
UACGUAGGGUGCAAGCGUUUAAUCGGAAUUACUGGGCGUAAAGCGUGCGCAGGCGGUUUUGUAAGUUUGUCGUGAAAUCCCCGGGCUCAACCUGGGAAUGGCGAUGAAGACUGCAAGGCUAGAAUCUGGCAGAGGGGGGGUAGAAUUCCACGUGUAGCAGUGAAAUGCGUAGAGAUGUGGAGGAACACCGAUGGCGAAGGGCAGCCCCCUGG